rnacentral:rRNA from 1 species
GACGAACGCUGGCGGCGUGCUUAACACAUGCCAGUCGAACGUGAUUUUUGUGGCAAUUCUUUCGGGAAUGGAAAUGAAAUGAAAGUGGCGAACGGGUGAGUAACACGUGAGCAACCUACCUUACACAGGGGGAUAGCCGUUGGAAACGACGAUUAAUACCGCAUGAGACCACAGAAUCGCAUGAUAUAGGGGUCAAAGAUUUAUCGGUGUAAGAAGGGCUCGCGUCUGAUUAGCUAGUUGGAAGGGUAAAGGCCUACCAAGGCGACGAUCAGUAGCCGGUCGAAGAGGAAGAAGGGCAAAAGGGGAAAUGAGAACGGGACAAAGAUCAUACGGGAGGAGGGAGGGGGAAAUAGUGAAAAAGGGGGGGAACCAUGAGGAAGCGGCGCCGGGGGAGAAAAAAGGGUUUUCGAAUGGAAAAGCUUGGUCCUAUGAAAAGAAAAGGAGGUAAUAAAAGGAGGAAGCCCCGGAAAAAUACGGG